rnacentral:rRNA from 1 species
CCGCCAAGUUUACUUUGAAAAAAUUAGAGUGCUCAAAGCAGGCGCGACGCCUGAAUAAUUGUGCAUGGAAUAAUGGAAUAGGACCUCGGUUCUAUUUUGUUGGUUUUCGGAACACGAGGUAAUGAUUAAGAGGGACAGACGGGGGCAUUCGUAUUGCGACGCUAGAGGUGAAAUUCUUGGACCGUCGCAAGACGAACUACUGCGAAAGCAUUUGCCAAGAAUGUUUCCAUUAAUCAAGAACGAAAGUUAGAGGUUCGAAGGCGAUCAGAUACCGCCCUAGUUCUAACCAUAAACGAUGCCAGCCAGCAAUCCGCCUGUGUUCCUCAAAUGACACGGCGGGCGGCUUCCGGGAAACCAAAGCUUUUGGGUUCCGGGGGAAGUAUGGUUGCAAAGCUGAAACUUAAAGGAAUUGACGGAAGGGCACCACCAGAAAUGGAGCCUGCGGCUUAAUUUGACUCAACACGGGGAAACUUACCCGGCCCGGACACAGGAAGGAUUGACAGAUUAAGAGCUCUUUCUUGAUUCUGUGGGUGGUGGUGCAUGGCCGUUCUUAGUUGGUGGGGCGACUUGUCUGGUUAAUUCCGAUAACGAACGAGACUCUAGCCUACUAAAUAGACGUUCCGAUCCUCUUUCGUCGGACGUUCUUCUUAGAGGGACAAGCGGCGUUUAGCCGCACGAGACAGAGCAAUAACAGGUCUGGGAUGCCCUUAGAUGUCCGGGGCCGCACGCGCGCUACAUUGAAGGAAUCAGCGUGUGCUU